CAGUCGCCGCGGUAAUACGUAGGUGGCAAGCGUUGUCCGGAAUUAUUGGGCGUAAAGGGCUCGCAGGUGGUUUCUUAAGUCUGAUGUGAAAGCCCCCGGCUCAACCGGGGAGGGUCAUUGGAAACUGGGAAACUUGAGUGCAGAAGAGGAGGGUGGAAUUCCACGUGUAGCGGUGAAAUGCGUAGAGAUGUGGAGGAACACCAGUGGCGAAGGCGACUCUCUGGUCUGUAACUGACGCUGAGGAGCGAAAGCGUGGGGAGCGAACAGGAUUAGAUACCCCGGUAGUCCCUGUCUCUUAUAA
rnacentral:rRNA from 1 species